rnacentral:tRNA from 1 species
GGGGGUGUAGCUCAGUCGGCAGAGCGCCUGCCUUGCACGCAGGAGGCCAGCGGUUCGAAUCCGCUCACCUCCA